AUGAGCAACACAAAAGGAAAGAGGAGAGGCACCCAGUAUAUGUUCUCUAGGCCUUUCGGGAAACAUGGAGUUGUUCCUUUGACCACACACAUGUGAAGCUACAAGAAGGGUGAUAUUAUAGACAGCAAGGGAAUGGGCACUGUUCAAAAAGGAGUGCCCCAUAAGUGUUACCAUGGCAAAACCCGAAAAGUUUACAAUGUCACCCAGCAUCAUUGUGAAAAAGCAAGUUAAGGGCAAAAUUCUGGCCAAGAGGAUCAAUGUGGAUUGAGCACAUCAAGCACUCGAAGAGCAGAGACAGCUUCCUGAAGUGGGUGAAGGAGAACGACCAGAAGAAAAAGGAAGCCAAAGAGAAGGGUCCCUGGGUUCAGCUGAAGCGCCAGCCUGCGCCACCCAGAGAAGCACACUUUGUGAGAACUAACGGAAAAGAGCCUGAGCUGCUGGAGUCCACUCCACAUGAAUUCAUGGCCUAA
rnacentral:lncRNA from 1 species